CCUACGGGUGGCAGCAGUGGGGAAUAUUGGACAAUGGGCGAAAGCCUGAUCCAGCCAUGCCGCGUGUGUGAAGAAGGCCUUCGGGUUGUAAAGCACUUUCAGUGGGGAAGAAAGCCUUGGGGCUAAUACCCUCGAGGAAGGACAUCACCCACAGAAGAAGCACCGGCUAACUCCGUGCCAGCAGCCGCGGUAAUACGGAGGGUGCGAGCGUUAAUCGGAAUUACUGGGCGUAAAGCGCGCGUAGGCGGUCUGAUAAGCCGGUUGUGAAAGCCCCGGGCUCAACCUGGGAACGGCAUCCGGAACUGUCAGGCUAGAGUGCAGGAGAGGAAGGUAGAAUUCCCGGUGUGGCGGUGAAAUGCGUAGAGAUCGGGAGGAAUACCAGUGGCGAAGGCGGCCUUCUGGACUGACACUGACGCUGAGGUGCGAAAGCGUGGGUAGCAAACAGGAUUAGAUACCCCAGUAGUC
rnacentral:rRNA from 1 species